GUUGACCUCGGAUCAGGUAGGAAUACCCGCUGAACUU
rnacentral:rRNA from 15 species